AUCUCUCGGCCUUGCUUCUUCUUUUUCUUCCAAGCGACACAAAAGAAAGACUCCAAUUUUUCCGCUCUCAAUUCCCUCUCUCAGCCCUUCUCUUUCCCAAAAAAAAAAAAUAAAAUCUUCCAACAUACCCCUUGGCUCAUUCACGGCACUUCCACUACACAAACACACACAUCACUCCAUUUGGUUUCUUCUCUUGGCUCUCAUAUGCAAAGAAAAGUGAAGGAAAGAAGUAAAGACAACAAGCAAACAAACGGUUGAGGCUUAGGAAUUCAUUCAAAGUUUUAACCAAGAAACUCCACUUUCAUUGAGGUAUUUUCCAGCCUUUUUUAAAGCAUAUUAGAUACAUUCUGGUUGUUUAGUUUCUCUUGCUUUUGCUGGUUUUCAUUGUUGUUGUUUUAUUGCAGAAACUUUGGGGAAUGACAUAAGCUAGAUUAAGGAAAAGGAAAUGAUUCUUGCGUAUGCAUGCCAAGUGUUUGAAAAAAAAAUACUUAAAUGGAAAAUCGAAUUAAAAUGUUAAUUUUGUACAUAUAUUGUUGUUAAAAUGAAUAAUCAUGACUAGUUAAUGGUUUGGAGAGGUUGUUUAAUUAAGUUUUUGUCGAUUUUGUAGUCUAAAAGGCAACAAAAAAAUUGGAUUUUUAGGGGCUGUUUUUGCUUUAAUUUAGACUUUUGAUGUUGUUUUCUUGUCAAAUUAAAAUCAUGCUUGUAUUGUAGAAGUUAUAAGGAGUGUUGUAAUAUAAUUUUUAUGAUUUUUGGUGAAGGAUAUAGUGUUUUGAAAAAAUAAAAACUGGGCUGUCUUUUUACUAUUUUUGCCACUUUCAGUUUAUUUUUUGUAAAAACUAAGUUCAAAAAUGGAUUCUACGUGAAAAAUCGAGUGGAGUGUAUUUUGGGAAAAUUUUGUGACCGGAUAAUUUGCCGGCGGCUGGCAGCGGUCCGACGGUGGCCAUAGCCGCCAGCAAGAAGGAAGCUUUAGCUUCACCGGAGAGAAGAAUAGGGAAGGAAGAAGAAAGAAAAGAAAAAGAAGGAAAAUGGAUUGAACCAAUUUUUUUAUUUUCUAAUGGGCUUCUUAGUUUAAUUUUGGUUGGGCUAGAGUUUUGUUUUUAGGGCUUUUCGUUUGGGCUUGUGUUUAUUUUUCAUGAAGACAGCCCACAUUUUUCUUUUGGACUGGAUGGCUCCAGGUCAAACAAAUAAAAAUAAAUGGUCCAAAACCCUUUUCUCACAAAUCAGAAAUUGAAAUUUUCACUUUAGCCCCACUUCCUUUGAGUAAUUUUACUGUGGUUCAGAAAAUUUUAAAUUUCUUUCACUUAGGCCCUUAAAUGAAUUGCAUUUUGAUCCCUGAAUUUUAUCUUUUAUUUAAAUUUGACCCCUACACUUUGGAUUUUUUUUUACCACAAAAAUUUUUCAAUUUUUGCAAUUUAGUCCCUAGUUAAUUUUUGACUCUCUCUAUUAUAAUUAUUUAUUUUUUUUGAUUUCUUUAUGUUUGAAAUAUUAAUGUGAAUUUAGUAUUUUUAUCAUCAUUAUUAUUAUUUUCAAUUAAAUUGGUGCUAUGAUUUUUUUGUUCAUUUUGAAUAUAAAUAGGGCAAUUUGACUCCAUUUAGUCACCACUUCAAAGGGAGUUAACCCUAUUAUUAUUUGAAUGUUAAUUACGUGCUCUUAUGUGCUUCUACGUGCUCCUGUGUAUUUAUAUAUUUUUAUAUGUUUUGUUAUUUAUUUGAUUCAAAUGUUCAUUUAGUUUUUCUUAUGUUUGUUUAGUUAAUUUUAUAAUUAUUUAAGAGGUGUUUAAAUACCUCAAAGUGUAAUAGAUAGGUAAUAUUUUUGUAAUAAAGUGUAAUUAGAUAGACCAAUGUAAUAGAUAGAAUAGAUAGGUUUAUUUUAUCAUAUUUUUCCCACUAUAGAUUGUAAUUAGGUCCCAUAUUUUAAUAAAUAGAAUAGAUAGGUUUAUUUUUUUAUAUUUCUCCAUUUUAAAUUGUAGUUAGAUUCUCCGUUGUAAUACGUAGAUUUUGUGUGUUUAUGUGA
rnacentral:lncRNA from 1 species